GAGCGGCCUCCAGCGGGAGGCAAGUGGGUAGAGCCCCGGAGGUGAGGAGCACCUUGGAGCGGCUGGUUAUUGAAGACCGAAGAAUUUUUGAAGUUCUGAA